CCUACGGGAGGCAGCAGUGAGGAAUAUUGGUCAAUGGGCGCGAGCCUGAACCAGCCAAGCCGCGUGAAGGAUGACUGCCCUACGGGUUGUAAACUUCUUUUAUAAAGGAAUAAAGUGGGGCACGUGUGUCUUUUUGUAUGUACUUUAUGAAUAAGGAUCGGCUAACUCCGUGCCAGCAGCCGCGGUAAUACGGAGGAUCCGAGCGUUAUCCGGAUUUAUUGGGUUUAAAGGGAGCGUAGAUGGGUUGUUAAGUCAGUUGUGAAAGUUUGCGGCUUAACCGGAAAAUUGCAAUUGAUACUGGCAGCCUUGAGUACAGUUGAGGUAGGCGGAAUUCGUGGUGUAGCGGUGAAAUGCUUAGAGAUCACGAAGAACACCGAUUGCGAAGGCAGCUUACUAAACUGCCACUGACAUUGAUGCUCGAAAGUGUGGGUAUCAAACAGGAUUAGAUACCCUUGUAGUC
rnacentral:rRNA from 1 species